GAAAUGCGAUAAGUAAUGUGAAUUGCAGAAUUCAGUGAAUCAUCGAAUCUUUGAACGCACAUUGCGCCCCCUGGUAUUCCGGGGGGCAUGCCUGUUCGAGCGUCAUUUCACCACUCAAGCCUCGCUUGGUAUUGGGCAACGCGGUCCGCCGCGUGCCUCAACUCGACCGGCUGGGUCUUCUGUCCCCGAAGCGUUGUGGAAACUAUUCGCUAAAGGGGGCUCGGGAGGCUACGCCGUAAAACCAACCCAUUGCCAAGGUUGACCUCGGAUCAGGUAGGGAUACCCGCUGAACUUAA
rnacentral:misc_RNA from 1 species